UAGUUCUAUGUUUACUUCCGGUAGUGCAAGUGUACAAUUUUUAAAGAUAAUUUACUAAAUUGAGUUCUUGUUUGCAUACGUUACAAGUCAAGGAAAAGACAAAAAAGAUACCAAGGAUGUAAGCAAACUAAUUAAGGAAGUUUAGAACCCUAUAAAUUAAGACAGACAGAGAGAGAGGGGUGACAGAUUUGCCAAUAUCCUUUUAAAAAACAGAAACUCUCAUCUUGAUAAUGGAUGCAAAGUAAAUUCAGUACUUCCCUGAAAACUGCGGAUAUUUGUGAUAUAAGAGGAGAAGUUGAGAGUGACUGGUAGGGAACAGGUAAGAAAUUUUACAAACUUGGGGUUGACCAAAAACACAGUUUAAACAAGUCUACUUUCUGUUUUCACAAGAAAGGUUCAAAAUGUUGUAUGUGUAUAUAAACAGGGGAUAAAUAAGUUACUUGGAGUGAUAAAUAACUGAUCACAGU